rnacentral:rRNA from 1 species
CAAGUCGAACGAGGCCCUUGUAUUCGUAGAAGGUGUCCUAGUGGCGAACGGUGAGUAACACGUUGGUGACCUGCCCCAAAGAGGGGGACAACCCCGGGAAACUGGGGCUAAUACCCCAUGUGCUCCAGGGAUUAGAGAACCCUGGAGAAAAGGAGAAAUCCGCUUUGGGAGGGGCCUGCGGCCCAUCAACUAGUGGGAGGGUAAUGGCCUACCAGGUAGACGGUAGGGACCUGAGAGGUGCCCCACACUGCACUGAACACGGGCCAGACACCUACGGGUGGCAGCAGUGGGAAUAUUGCCCAUGGACGAAAGUCUAGGCAGCAACGCCGCGUGCGCGAUGAAGGCCUUCGGGUUGUAAAGCGCUUUUCUGGGGAAGAGAAAGGACGGUACCCCAGGAAUAAGUCUCGGCUAACUACGUGCCAGCAGCCGCGGUAAAACGUAGGAGGCAAGCGUUAUCCGGAUUUACUGGGCGUAAAGCGCGUGCAGGCGGUUUGGUAAGUCGGACGUGAAAGCUCCCGGCUCAACUGGGAGAGGCCGUUCGAGACUACCAGACUAGAGGGCAGCAGAGGGAGGUGGAAUCAGGGUGUAGCGGUGAAAUGCGUAGAUAUCCGGAGGAACACAGUGGCGAGGCGCCUCCUGGACUGUCCUGACGCUAAGACCGAAGCUAGGGAGCAACGGGAUUAGAAACCCCGGUAGUCCUAGCCGUAAACGAUGCAGACUUGGUGUUGGUGGUGUAAAAGCCAUCAGUGCCGUAGCUAACGCGAUAAGUCUGCCGCCUGGGGACUACGACCGCAAGGUAAAACUCAAAGGAAUUGACGGGACCCGCACAAGCAGCGGAGCGUGUGGUUUAAUUCGAGGCUACGCGAAGAACCUUACCUGGGCUUGACAUGCAUGUAGUAGGGAUCCGAAAGGUGACGACCCUUCGGGGAGCGUGCACAGGUGCUGCAUGGCUGUCGUCAGCUCGUGCCG